CCAUCUUUGGUUCAGUGGUAGAAUGCUUGCCUGCCACACGGGCGGCCCGGGUUCGAUUCCCGGCUGAUGCA
rnacentral:tRNA from 1 species